rnacentral:rRNA from 1 species
AGUUGAUCAUGGCUCAGGAUGAACGCUAGCUACAGGCUUAACACAUGCAAGUCGAGGGCAGCAUGGAGUUGCUUGCAAACUCUGAUGGCGACCGGCGCACGGGUGAGUAACGCGUAUCCCAACCUUCCCUAUAGUAGAGGAUAGCCCGGCGAAAGUCGGAUUAAUACUCUAUGUUUUCCGUUGCAGACAUCUAAGAUGGAACAAAGGCUUGCCGCUAUAGGAUGGGGAUGCGUCUGAUUAGGUAGUCGGCGGGGUAACGGCCCACCGAGCCAUCGAUCAGUAGGGUUCCGAGAGGAAGGUCCCCCACAUUGGAACUGAGACACGGUCCAAACUCCUACGGGAGGCAGCAGUGAGGAAUAUUGGUCAAUGGGCGAGAGCCUGAACCAGCCAAGUAGCGUGCAGGAUGACGGCCCUAUGGGUUGUAAACUGCUUUUAUGCGGGGAUAAAGUUCACUACGUGUAGUGUUUUGUAGGUACCGCAUGAAUAAGGACCGGCUAAUUCCGUGCCAGCCGCCGC